AGUAGUUUGAUCAUGCUACGAGGACGAACGCUGGCGGCGUGCUUAACACAUGCAAGUCGAACGGGAAGACAUUUCUAACACCGAGUUACUAAAGUGAUGCUUUAUAUAAGUGAUUGAUACUUUGGUGGUUCGGUGUUAGAAAUGGAUUAUAGUGGCAAACGGGUGAGUAACGCGUAGGCAACCUGCCCUUUAGAUGGGGACAACAUUUCGAAAGGAAUGCUAAUACCGAAUGAUGUGCGUUGGUCGCAUGACCGAUGUACCAAAGGCCGGGCAACCGGUCACUGAAGGAUGGGCCUGCGUCUGAUUAGCUUGUUGGUGGGGUAACGGCCCACCAAGGCGACGAUCAGUAGCCGGUCUGAGAGGAUGAACGGCCACAUUGGGACUGAGACACGGCCCAAACUCC
rnacentral:rRNA from 1 species